ensembl:snoRNA
AGGGUGUGAGCAUGACGACUGGGCAUUCACGUGCUUGUGUGACACAUGCCUCCCUUACUCCUUGUUAUGACAUCGACACAUUAUACCCGCCCGAUG